ACUGACACCCCUGUGUCUGCCUCCAGUCCUGCCACAGGUAUCGGGGAUCCAGGUGUUACCAAAGUGGGAGCCCCAGGAUCAGGUGCCGUUUGCUGUCCAAAUCCAGAACUUUUACCCCAGGGAGAUUCACCAGAUCCAGUGGAGCUGUGACGGGACAAACUGGGAAACGUCUGAACCGACUGACUACAGAGAGAACCCGGAUCGCACGUUCAAUGCCACCAGCGUAUGGAGAGUCCCCAGUGACAGACUGAACACUCCGGGGCUCAUAGUCCAAGUGUCCAUCCAGCAGAGCCCUCGAGAGACCCCGAUCAAGAAAGAGAUCAGAGCCAGAGAGACAGGUCUCCUGCAUCCCCCGGAUGUGUCAGAAAUCUGCAAACCUGAGUCAAUGACAAUGGGGGAGGAAAUCACCCUGAGCUGCCACAUGGAGGGGCAUUUCCCUGGGGCACUGAAUGUGAGCUGGUUCAGGAAGGACAGAGAACAUGUAAUCUUGCAUUGGAAGCCAAAGGACAAGGCAGACACACUUCAUCGUCUAGAAAACUCUGAUAAGUACACCAUCGAAGCCGGGCAUCCCUGCACAGAGGACGGGAAAAGCUUCCGGCAGGAGACAAGACUCAGCUUCACUCUCUCGGAACAGAGAGACCAGGAAGCAGAAUAUGUCUGCCGGGUGGGACACAUUGCCCUACAGACAAUACAGUAUGUGGAGAGGCGCAGUGGGAAGCUGCGUGUGACAGCAAGCUCCAAUUCUCCUGGACCUGAAGUGUCUGAGCUGGGCACAAUGGUAUCAUCCUGGGACAUGCAGCAAGGACCCGAGGGACCAGAGGGGCCAGAUCUGAAGACAAAGCCCUUGGGGCAGAUGGGAGCCUGGGCUGAUAAGCAAGUGGGAGCAACCUUCCCACAGACACAGGUGCAGAAAGCGGUGGCACAACUGAACCAGCACAAGGUGGCAACGACAAGUGAAGAGAUGUUCAUUAACCAGCCCCAGAUGCAGGUCAUGUCUGGAGACCCAAAAAGCCAGCCCAGAAUGAAAGUGACCAAGCCCAGCCCAGCAGGGAAAGUGUUGGAUUCAAUUGAGCCCAGGUCACAAGGAGAAGCAACAAAGGUGACUGAGCCCAACACACCAGGGAAAGCAUUGAAUUCAACCUUGCCCAGUGCACCAGGGGAAGUGAUGGAUAUAACCAAGCCCAGCGCACCAGGGGAAGUGACAGAAAUGAGCCCAGGAAGCGAUUGAAGUGAUUAUAGAAUCCUAGAAGAUGAGGGCUUGAAGGAGCCUCAGGAGGUAUCUAGUCCAAACCCCUCUCAAAGAAGGACCAAGCUGACUGAACCAUCAGAACCAGGAGGCCCCGGUCACAUUGGCGUAGUCGUGGCAGGAUCCACAGAACCAGAACAUUUGGGUGUAGGAUCAGGACCCCACGCUAUUCCUAAAUUUUAUAUUUGAUACUGAGAGUGUUAAAGGUUAAAGUUGGUCAGAAUGAGUUAUUCACAGUCAGAUGAAGCAAUGAAGUCAAAAGACCCGAGAAGUAGACGGAGUUCUUACUUUGAGAAAGAAAUGGCAAAACUUCGUUUGUAUGAACAACAAAAAAUGCAGGAGAUGAAAGAGGCUGCUGAGGAGAGAAGUCGUCAAAGAAUGCAGGAGAUGGAGGAGAGAAGUCGUCAAAGAAUGCAGGAGAUGGAGGAGGCAUAUAGACAGAUAGCUGGUCUAAGGCAAAUAGAGGAACUCUUUCCAAUUUCUAGCAAUUUUGGUAUGAUUAAUGUUGAUAAAGUGAAUAUUUGUAACCAAAUGAAUGUCUUAGAUAAACC
ensembl:lncRNA